rnacentral:rRNA from 1 species
UAAGUAAGCUUUGAUCCAGAGAUUUCCGAAUGGGGAAACCCAGCAUGAGUUAUGUCAUGUUAUCGAUAUGUGAAUACAUAGCAUAUCAGAAGGCACACCCGGAGAACUGAAACAUCUUAGUACCCGGAGGAAGAGAAAGAAAAUUCGAUUCCCUUAGUAGCGGCGAGCGAAACGGGAAGAGCCCAAACCAACAAGCUUGCUUGUUGGGGUUGUAGGACACUCUAUACGGAGUUACAAAGGACGACAUUAGACGAAUCAUCUGGAAAGAUGAAUCAAAGAAGGUAAUAAUCCUGUAGUCGAAAAUGUUGUCUCUCUUGAGUGGAUCCUGAGUACGACGGAGCACGUGAAAUUCCGUCGGAAUCUGGGAGGACCAUCUCCUAAGGCUAAAUACUCUCUAGUGACCGAUAGUGAACCAGUACCGUGAGGGAAAGGUGAAAAGCACCCCGGAAGGGGAGUGAAAUAGAACCUGAAACCGUGUGCUUACA